rnacentral:lncRNA from 1 species
ACAUCAAAACCCCAAAUAAAUUCAAUCCUGAUCAUUGCAAGAAAGCUUUCUGUCCUAUCAGGGACCCUGGGUUAAAUCCACCUUCUCAAUUCUGGUGCCUUUAUGUUGGACUACAGCUCCCAUUAACCAUGCUGGCUGUGUGGAUAAUGGGAGUGGCAUUCCAAUAGGCCCAGAUGGCACCAGGCUGGGGAAGAACAGGUUUGUGUAAACCGAGGCUGUUGUUCUGCGGGAUUUGUUGUGUGUUUGUGUUUUCAUGCUCACUUCUUCUUUCCGUUUCAGGGGGAAGGAACAGUCGGCGACUCCCUUGAGGAGGUCUUCAGCUGCCGACGACAGGCCCGGAUCCAAGCAGACCUUCUUGACACAGAGUAGAAGAGGGAUGUUCUGUGGGUCCUUCUCCUCCGAGCAGAAUGGAAACGUGGAGAACCACUUGCUCGGCUCAAAAGGCGUCCCAGAGCUACGACCUGGGAGAACGGCAAGGAGUACCCAGAUGACGGCUGCUUCUCAGAUUAAAAAAACAGAGGAGGCCACGUCCCCUGGAACUCCUGGCCAAAAGGUCGGGGCAUCUCUGGCCUCUGGAUUCCAGCAGAUGCUAAAGCUCCGUCCAUCGACUCCAACUCAUUCUAAUGUUCAGCAGACUCGUGAGGUCCCAACCAGUGGCCACAGCUCAGUGGCCCAUCAAGAAGGGGUUCCUACUGAGGGAUUGAGAAAGGCCCCCAAAGCAGGGAGAUCUUUUUCCCCAGUGAAACAGAUGCACUCUGUUCAAAAAGAGGAGAGCAGUGCAAAGGGUUCAGCCAAGGUCAGGCUGACGUUCUCCAGGCCUCCCACCCCCAGCAAAAACUACGAAGCGAGAAAUGGAGGGGGCCUUAUGACCCAAGUUGGGGUGCUCAAGGGUGGGGCUAGUCCUCAGAAGGAAGAGGGAAAGGCAAGCAAUGGAUUUCCUGAGAGAUCCUGGGUUGGACUCAACCAGGUAAACCUAGAACAUCAAAGGAAGAAUGUCCAGACAAACCUUGAUCAAAGAGGUGCUCCGCAUAGCCCUUGUGAGAAUGAUCAAAGCGGCCAUGGAGAUAUCAAGGAGCCUCCAGUAGAGAAGGAACGUGUCUACACUCCAUUGCCUAUUAACAUGGCUGAAGAACAGGCUCUGUAUAGGAGUCUGGAGGAAGAAAUCAUGGCCAACAUCAAGGAGUUGGAAGACGGCGAGGAUGAGAACCACCUUUCCAAAGAGAGCCAGUUGAGAGGGUUUAGAAUGGACCGUGACUCACGAAGAGGCACGGCUGCCUUAGACUGUAAUGACCGAAGGUUGUCUACACCAUCCCUCCCCUUUUGGUCAAACGCCACAAAGGUCUUGGAUUACAGGGAAGGUGUCCCUCGGAGUGGUGUCUAUGUCCCUGAAAGCGAGA